AGUGAACGCUGGCGGUAGGCCUAACACAUGCCAGUCGAACGGCAGCACAGUAAGAGCUUGCUCUUACGGGUGGCGAGUGGCGGACGGGUGAGGAAUACAUCGGAAUCUACUUUUUCGUGGGGGAUAACGUAGGGAAACUUACGCUAAUACCGCAUACGACCUACGGGUGAAAGCAGGGGAUCUUCGGACCUUGCGCGAUUGAAUGAGCCGAUGUCGGAUUAGCUAGUUGGCGGGGUAAAGGCCCACCAAGGCGACGAUCCGUAGCUGGUCUGAGAGGAUGAUCAGCCACACUGGAACUGAGACACGGUCCAGACUCCUACGGUAGGCAGCAGUGGUGAAUAUUGGACAAUGGGCGCAAGCCUGAUCCAGCCAUACCGCGUGGGUGAAGAAGGCCUUCGGGUUGUAAAGCCCUUUUGUUGGGAAAGAAAAGCAGCAGGUUAAUACCCCGCUGUUCUGACGGUACCCAAAGAAUAAGCACCGGCUAACUUCGUG
rnacentral:rRNA from 1 species